GUCUAUAGCCAUGCCACCCUGAACAAGCCUGAUGUCUGAUCUCGGAAGCCAAGCAGUGUUGGGCCUGGUUAGUACUUGGAUGGGAGACCACCUAGGAAGACCAGGUGCUGUAGGCA
rnacentral:rRNA from 1 species